rnacentral:rRNA from 1 species
UUAAGCGACUAAGCGUACACGGUGGAUGCCCUGGCAGUCAGAGGCGAUGAAGGACGUGCUAAUCUGCGAUAAGCGUCGGUAAGGUGAUAUGAACCGUUAUAACCGGCGAUUUCCGAAUGGGGAAACCCAGUGUGUUUCGACACACUAUCAUUAACUGAAUCCAUAGGUUAAUGAGGCGAACCGGGGGAACUGAAACAUCUAAGUACCCCGAGGAAAAGAAAUCAACCGAGAUUCCCCCAGUAGCGGCGAGCGAACGGGGAGCAGCCCAGAGCCUGAAUCAGUGUGUGUGUUAGUGGAAGCGUCUGGAAAGGCGCGCGAUACAGGGUGACAGCCCCGUACACAAAAAUGCACAUGCUGUGAGCUCGAUGAGUAGGGCGGGACACGUGGUAUCCUGUCUGAAUAUGGGGGGACCAUCCUCCAAGGCUAAAUACUCCUGACUGACCGAUAGUGAACCAGUACCGUGAGGGAAAGGCGAAAAGAACCCCGGCGAGGGGAGUGAAAAAGAACCUGAAACCGUGUACGUACAAGCAGUGGGAGCACGCUUAGGCGUGUGACUGCGUACCUUUUGUAUAAUGGGUCAGCGACUUAUAUUCUGUAGCAAGGUUAACCGAAUAGGGGAGCCGAAGGGAAACCGAGUCUUAACUGGGCGUUAAGUUGCAGGGUAUAGACCCGAAACCCGGUGAUCUAGCCAUGGGCAGGUUGAAGGUUGGGUAACACUAACUGGAGGACCGAACCGACUAAUGUUGAAAAAUUAGCGGAUGACUUGUGGCUGGGGGUGAAAGGCCAAUCAAACCGGGAGAUAGCUGGUUCUCCCCGAAAGCUAUUUAGGUAGCGCCUCGUGAAUUCAUCUCCGGGGGUAGAGCACUGUUUCGGCAAGGGGGUCAUCCCGACUUACCAACCCGAUGCAAACUGCGAAUACCGGAGAAUGUUAUCACGGGAGACACACGGCGGGUGCUAACGUCCGUCGUGAAGAGGGAAACAACCCAGACCGCCAGCUAAGGUCCCAAAGUCAUGGUUAAGUGGGAAACGAUGUGGGAAGGCCCAGACAGCCAGGAUGUUGGCUUAGAAGCAGCCAUCAUUUAAAGAAAGCGUAAUAGCUCACUGGUCGAGUCGGCCUGCGCGGAAGAUGUAACGGGGCUAAACCAUGCACCGAAGCUGCGGCAGCGACGCUGAUGCGUUGUUGGGUAGGGGAGCGUUCUGUAAGCCUGCGAAGGUGUGCUGUGAGGCAUGCUGGAGGUAUCAGAAGUGCGAAUGCUGACAUAAGUAACGAUAAAGCGGGUGAAAAGCCCGCUCGCCGGAAGACCAAGGGUUCCUGUCCAACGUUAAUCGGGGCAGGGUGAGUCGACCCCUAAGGCGAGGCCGAAAGGCGUAGUCGAUGGGAAACAGGUUAAUAUUCCUGUACUUGGUGUUACUGCGAAGGGGGGACGGAGAAGGCUAUGUUGGCCGGGCGACGGUUGUCCCGGUUUAAGCGUGUAGGCUGGUUUUCCAGGCAAAUCCGGAAAAUCAAGGCUGAGGCGUGAUGACGAGGCACUACGGUGCUGAAGCAACAAAUGCCCUGCUUCCAGGAAAAGCCUCUAAGCAUCAGGUAACAUCAAAUCGUACCCCAAACCGACACAGGUGGUCAGGUAGAGAAUACCAAGGCGCUUGAGAGAACUCGGGUGAAGGAACUAGGCAAAAUGGUGCCGUAACUUCGGGAGAAGGCACGCUGAUAUGUAGGUGAAGCGACUUGCUCGUGGAGCUGAAAUCAGUCGAAGAUACCAGCUGGCUGCAACUGUUUAUUAAAAACACAGCACUGUGCAAACACGAAAGUGGACGUAUACGGUGUGACGCCUGCCCGGUGCCGGAAGGUUAAUUGAUGGGGUCAGCGCAAGCGAAGCUCUUGAUCGAAGCCCCGGUAAACGGCGGCCGUAACUAUAACGGUCCUAAGGUAGCGAAAUUCCUUGUCGGGUAAGUUCCGACCUGCACGAAUGGCGUAAUGAUGGCCAGGCUGUCUCCACCCGAGACUCAGUGAAAUUGAACUCGCUGUGAAGAUGCAGUGUACCCGCGGCAAGACGGAAAGACCCCGUGAACCUUUACUAUAGCUUGACACUGAACAUUGAGCCUUGAUGUGUAGGAUAGGUGGGAGGCUUUGAAGUGUGGACGCCAGUCUGCAUGGAGCCGACCUUGAAAUACCACCCUUUAAUGUUUGAUGUUCUAACGUUGACCCGUAAUCCGGGUUGCGGACAGUGUCUGGUGGGUAGUUUGACUGGGGCGGUCUCCUCCUAAAGAGUAACGGAGGAGCACGAAGGUUGGCUAAUCCUGGUCGGACAUCAGGAGGUUAGUGCAAUGGCAUAAGCCAGCUUGACUGCGAGCGUGACGGCGCGAGCAGGUGCGAAAGCAGGUCAUAGUGAUCCGGUGGUUCUGAAUGGAAGGGCCAUCGCUCAACGGAUAAAAGGUACUCCGGGGAUAACAGGCUGAUACCGCCCAAGAGUUCAUAUCGACGGCGGUGUUUGGCACCUCGAUGUCGGCUCAUCACAUCCUGGGGCUGAAGUAGGUCCCAAGGGUAUGGCUGUUCGCCAUUUAAAGUGGUACGCGAGCUGGGUUUAGAACGUCGUGAGACAGUUCGGUCCCUAUCUGCCGUGGGCGCUGGAGAACUGAGGGGGGCUGCUCCUAGUACGAGAGGACCGGAGUGGACGCAUCACUGGUGUUCGGGUUGUCAUGCCAAUGGCACUGCCCGGUAGCUAAAUGCGGAAGAGAUAAGUGCUGAAAGCAUCUAAGCACGAAACUUGCCCCGAGAUGAGUUCUCCCUGACUCCUUGAGAGUCCUGAAGGAACGUUGAAGACGACGACGUUGAUAGGCCGGGUGUGUAAGCGCAGCGAUGCGUUGAGCUAACCGGUACUAAUGAACCGUGAGGCUUAACCU